ensembl:lncRNA
GUCAAAUGUUAUUAGCUCUGCCCUUCUCUUUUUAUUACAUUAGACAAUCUCAUUCUUUUUUUUUUUUUUUAUCUUGUAGAUUGGUUUGUAGAGUCUCGAUAACUCAUGCAGUGCUCUUCUGGAUCCUCUCCAGCUGACACAAGGGUAGGGACCUGGGUGUAAGUGCAAGUAGCAGCUGGGAGAACACAGUUGAUGCAUCCUUCCAUUUGGAAACUGUCAUUGAAAACUGUGGCUUAAAUGAAACCCUUCAUGCUAAUGAGUAACAAAGAAUUCCUGCAAUCCCAAGCAGCAGAAACGGAGCUCAGCUGGAUGCCUGUCUGGCCAUGGGAAAUGGAUUAUAUCUUCAUUAUGCUAAAUACAAACAAGAGUCUUUGUCCUGUCUAUACAGCAUGGAUGUGGAUGGCUGUAAUACUCUGCUUCCCAGUGUUCAAUGUGC